rnacentral:lncRNA from 1 species
CCAUAGGGCAAGAGCUUCAUGUUCAGGACACGUGGUUUCCUCUCUCUGCUGAUUAGCCAGCAGUGAGCCAGUGCUGGCUCCUGUGUUGCCCUCUGCAUAGGCCAUCACAGGAGAUGGAACCCAGCGCCUUUUACACAGUAGGUUCGCUUUCUAUGAUGGACCUUUCUAUGAUGGACCGUAAGUAUUCGCCUGCCAAUUAAACAAUCAAUAGUUAUCCUGUAAGUGGUGAGUGAACCCAUAAAAUCUGUGACCUGGAAAGUCAACCAUUACAUGAGUGGAAGUGUUAAAUGGUCUGGAAAUGAUUGGAGCCAUCAAAUGCACGCACAUGCUCAGGUCUCUGACUACAAGAUACAUAAAUAUAUAAGAAUUAGGAAUGGCUUCAAUAAAGAAACAUGAAGAUUCAAUUUAGAAGAUAAAGGAACAUGAAGACUUAAUUAAAAAUAAAGGAACACAAAGAUUUAAUUAAAAAAAUAAA